rnacentral:rRNA from 1 species
ACCCGCUGAACUUAAGCAUAUCAAUAAGCGGAGGAAAAGAAACCAACAGGGAUUGCCUCAGUAACGGCGAGUGAAGCGGCAAAAGCUCAGAUUUGAAAUCUGGCGUUUUUUAAACGUCCGAGUUGUAAUCUGUAGAGAAGUAUUCGAGUGUGGAUUUGGCUUAAGUUCCUUGGAACAGGACGUCACAGAGGGUGAGAACCCCGUUUCGGCCUUUGUCUUAUGCUCAUGUGAAUCUUCUUCAACGAGUCGAGUUGUUUGGGAAUGCAGCUCUAAAUGGGUGGUAAAUUCCAUCUAAAGCUAAAUACUGGCAAGAGACCGAUAGCGCACAAGUAGAGUGAUCGAAAGAUGAAAGGAACUCUGAACAGAGAGUUAAAUAGUACGUGAAAUUGUUGAAAGGGAAGCACUUGCGACCAGACUCGCUUGCAGCUAAUCAACCUCCAUUCUUGGUGGUGCACUUAGCUACAGGUGGGCCAGCAUCAGUUGUGUCGGUGGGAUAAAGACUUUAGGAAUGUGGCUCUCUUCGGGGAGUGUUAUAGCCUAUUGUGUAAUGCCAUCAGACGCGACUGAGGACCGCGCUUCGGCAAGGAUGCUGGCAUAAUGGUUGU